GACGAACGCUGGCGGCGUGCUUAACACAUGCAAGUCGAACGGAAAGGCCCUGCUUUUGUGGGGUGCUCGAGUGGCGAACGGGUGAGUAACACGUGAGUAACCUGCCCUUGACUUUGGGAUAACUUCAGGAAACUGGGGCUAAUACCGGAUAGGAGCUCCUGCUGCAUGGUGGGGGUUGGAAAGUUUCGGCGGUUGGGGAUGGACUCGCGGCUUAUCAGCUUGUUGGUGGGGUAGUGGCUUACCAAGGCUUUGACGGGUAGCCGGCCUGAGAGGGUGACCGGCCACAUUGGGACUGAGAUACGGCCCAAACUCCUACGGGAGGCAGCAGUGGGGAAUAUUGCACAAUGGGCGGAAGCCUAAUGCAGCAACGCCGCGUGCGGGAUGACGGCCUUCGGGUUGUAAACCGCUUUCGCCUGUGACGAAGCGUGAGUGACGGUAAUGGGUAAAGAAGCACGGGCUAACUACGUG
rnacentral:rRNA from 1 species